rnacentral:rRNA from 1 species
CUGACGAGCACGCCGCGUGAGUGAGAGGUUUUCGGAUCGUAAAGCUCUGUUGUAAGUCAAGAACGAGUGUGAGAGUGGAAAGUUCACACUGUGACGGUAGCUUACCAGAAAGGGACGGCUAACUACGUGCCAGCAGCCGCGGUAAUACGUAGGUCCCGAGCGUUGUCCGGAUUUAUUGGGCGUAAAGCGAGCGCAGGCGGUUUGAUAAGUCUGAAGUUAAAGGCUGUGGCUCAACCAUAGUUCGCUUUGGAAACUGUCAAACUUGAGUGCAGAAGGGGAGAGUGGAAUUCCAUGUGUAGCGGUGAAAUGCGUAGAUAUAUGGAGGAACACCGGUGGCGAAAGCGGCUCUCUGGUCUGUAACUGACGCUGAGGCUCGAAAGCGUGGGGAGCGAACA